rnacentral:ncRNA from 3 species
UCUUGGUGGUAGUAGCAAAU